ensembl:lncRNA
GGCCAGCCCGGAGGGCCCCGCUCGCCCCAUCCAGACAAUGACCCCCUCUCCCGGGCGCCUCCUUUGUAGCACAUCAUGGAGGCCAUUUGGCAUCUGUGGUUGCGUCCACCACCGCCCGAGGACUGGACUCUCCAACUGCGGUGUCCUCCUGUACUGCUGCUCUCCCCCAAAUCUGCCGCUGGCACGUGUGGGGCAUUGCUCCUGUGUAGACGAUCUUGAACGUCUUAAUAGCGCUUUAAUCAGCUACAGCCACGACCUGCAGAAAUUAAGCUGUGUCCACCCAGAAACUUGCCAUGUCAUCAACUGGAGACGGAAUCAACAGGAAGACCAAACCAAAGAGGAAGCUGCGAACCCCUGCAGUGAAUGCAGAUUCUGCUUUCUGCUUUUUAGGCCAAGGCCUAAAAAAGUGUGUGUCAUGCAUGUGUCACAUAGGUAUUGGUUUUAUAUCAAGGAAUGAGACAAAUACUUUGCCCCUGCCAAACCAAGUAUAAGGGACUACUGUUCUCAGUUUAUCUGUUCCCCCUAUCAUGUUUUUCUUUUUUUCAUGGAUGGAAAAUCCUGUGCCCAGGUCCUUGCUGAUGGUUUGCUUGCUCGGGAAUAUGGAAACUCUCUGGCCACAUCUGAAUUCGCAAAAUGAACAGGGGCAGGGCAAAUGCCAGAGCGCUGGUUGUGCAUAGUCCAUGAAGUGGCUUACUGCCAGCCAUGCUUCACCCAAACAAAAGGUGACAGGCUGUGGCUGAGGAACUAGCAUAGGAGAAACUCAAUCUGAGCUAAUGUUCAGAUUCCUAUUGGCCUGUUUUAGGAGAAACUGGUUAAAACUCUUGUAUGGUUGUGAGAUGCACCAGGCUAGUUACCCACAGGGUAGUAGAAAAUGAGCCCUGGACUUUUUUAUUCAUUGGUAGAGACAUGGCCUUGACCCCACAAUGGGUUUGGUGGGGGGAGGGGAAGUGGAGAAGGAGGGGAGUAGGGGAGUGUUCACUGUGAGGCCUCUCCCACUGUGAGCCAGCUUUAAAAAUGAGACUAAUAAUUGAGUGGUUUCUGCUCUGAAUUUCUUCUGUAUUUUACAGAUUUUACAUUAUACCACCAUUAAAGAUAACGUUAAUAGGGAGUAAAUAAGGACUCGGGUCUCCUUGUGUCCAGCUGCUUACCCAAAGUGGUAGUUUUUAAAUGUUUGUUCUGUUUCUGAUCCCAGGAUUCAGGAUCAGUUCAAAUAGAAAGGCUUCAGCAUGCUCCUCUUCAGAAAAAUUAACAGAGUGGAGGUUAUAGCACUUUUUAAAAAGGAGAAGUAACAUGGAGCUUUUCAUAUAGUGCUCAUCAACAGCAGCAGCAAAGACUCUGAGGCAGGAUGAAGGAUUUAUGGUGAAGCUGAAUUAGUGCACAAGAUCUUUGCACAUAAACAAUUGCUUCAAAACGAUGACAGUCAUGUUCAAAUACUGUUUUAGGAAUUCAGGGACAUGCUCUUGGUUAACCAUUAAUAUUUAAUGCUUUUUAAAUCAAUAUGUGUAGCCUUUAAGAGUAACGACCGUAAGAAAAUGUUAGCUUAACAUUAGGAAUAAAUUUUACGUUAUGACUGAGACUGGUCUGUGG